AGGGCGUACGGUGGAUGCCUAGGCACUUGGAACUGAAGAAGGACGCAACAAACGGCGAAACGCGACGGGGAGUGGUACGUACACAAAGAUCCGUCGAUAUCCGAAUGGGGAAACCCGGCAGCAGUAAUGAGCUGUCACCCAUGAGUGAAUACAUAGCUCAUGAGGGAGGUACCCGGAGAACUGAAACAUCUAAGUAUCCGGAGGAAAAGAAAAUAAGAAUGAUUCCGUAAGUAGCGGCGAGCGAACGCGGAGGAGCCCAAACCAGAUCUUGAUCUGGGGUUGUAGGACCACGAGAUGGCAAGAGCAAGGCUAAGAGAACGGCAUUGAAAGGCCGACCGGAGAGGGUGCAAGUCCCGUAACUGAAAGUCUAGCGAAGCCUAGUGGUAUCCUGAGUACGGCGAGACACGAGAAAUCUUGUCGGAAGCAGGCGGGACCAUCCGUCAAGGCUAAAUAUACCCAAGUGACCGAUAGUGAACCAGUACCGUGAGGGAAAGGUGAAAAGAACCGCGGGAGCGGAGUGAAAUAGAACCUGAAACCGUAUGCUUACAAGAAGUCAGAGCCCGUUAAAGGGUGAUGGCGUGCCUUUUGUAGAAUGAACCGGCGAGUUACGUUAUCGUGCGAGGUUAAGUAGAAGAUACGGAGCCGAAGCGAAAGCGAGUCUUAAUAGGGCGACAGUACGAUGAUGUAGACCCGAAACCGUGUGAUCUAGCCAUGACCAGGUUGAAGUUCAGGUGAAACUGAAUGGAGGACCGAACCGACCCCCGUUGAAAAGUUGGCGGAUGAGUUGUGGCUAGGGGAGAAAUUCCAAUCGAACACGGAUAUAGCUGGUUCUCCCCGAAAUAGCUUUAGGGCUAGCGUCGAGGUAGAGUCGCAUGGAGGUAGAGCACUGAAUGUACGAUGGCCCCAUCCCGGGGUACUGAGUAUAAUCAAACUCCGAAUGCCAUGCAGACGUACUCGGCAGUCAGACUGUGGGUGAUAAGGUCCAUGGUCAAAAGGGAAACAGCCCAGACCGCCAGUUAAGGUCCCAAAAUGUAUGCUAAGUGGAAAAGGAUGUGGGGAUGCACAGACAACUAGGAGGUUGGCUCAGAAGCAGCCAUCCUUCAAAGAGUGCGUAACAGCUCACUAGUCGAGUGACCCUGCGCCGAAAAUGUACCGGGGCUAAGCAUACUACCGAAGCUGCGGAUUCAACUUUAGAGUUGAGUGGUAGGGGAGCGUUGCAUGCACGUAGAAGCUGUACCGUAAGGAGCAGUGGAGAGCAUGGAAGAGAGAAUGCCGGUGUGAGUAGCGAGAUGUAGGUGAGAAUCCUACACACCGAUAGCCCAAGGAUUCCAGGGGAAGGUUCGUCCGCCCUGGGUAAGUCGGGACCUAACGCGAGGCCGAAAGGCGUAGUGGAUGGAAAACAGGCAGAUAUUCCUGUACCCGCGAUGGAAAUGAAGGAAUGACGGAGAAGGCUAGUGUGAGCCACUUAGUGGAUUGUGGUCGAAGCAUAUAGCAGGCUGACAGUGAAAUGCGUCAGCGGGAUGUAAGAUGUGAUAGGUAAGGGAACGUCCUCGGGCAAGUACUGAAGCACAUGAUGCCAGCUUCCAAGAAAAGUUUCUAGUAAUGAUUCCAUAGCGGCCCGUACCAAAACCGACACAGGUGGGCAAGGAGAGAAUCCUGAGGUGAGCGAGAGAACUGUUGCCAAGGAACUCGGCAAAAUGACUCCGUAAGUUAGCGAUAAGGAGUGCUCUUGUAAAAGAGAGCCGCAGUGAAGAGGCCCAAGCGACUGUUUAACUAAAACACAGCUCUCUGCAAAGUCGCAAGACGAAGUAUAGGGGGUGACGCCUGCCCGGUGCUGGAAGGUUAAGAGGAUUUGUCAUCCGCAAGGAGAAGCAAUGAAUUGAAGCCCCAGUGAACGGCGGCCGUAACUAUAACGGUCCUAAGGUAGCGAAAUUCCUUGUCAGGUAAGUUCUGACCCGCACGAAAGGCGUAACGAUUUGGGCGCUGUCUCGGCAGCAGACUCGGUGAAAUCUUAGUACCUGUGAAAAUGCAGGUUACCCGCAACUAGACGGAAAGACCCCAUGGAGCUUUACUGUAGCCUGAUAUUGAAUUUUGAUCAAAGAUGUACAGGAUAGGUGGGAGGCUGUGAGA
rnacentral:rRNA from 1 species